AACGAAGAAUGCAAGUUUCUGUUUAUUUAAUAGUUUGUCUGUUUUUAGUGUCCGUUGGAGUCAAUAUGGCAUCUGGGGACAUGCUAGAAGAAAAUGGACUUAUACAUGAACUUUUUAAAAGGAGUCCUCGGUGUAAAAGACCAUGCUAUACUAACGAUCAGUGUUGUAAGGGUUGGAUCUGCUCAAACAGGAAAUGCGAGGUCAGGUUGCAUACUGGCUAGAGAGUUCGGCCAACCAUUUUUUACACGUCCGAG